GGUGCCCCCACUAAGACACUGGCUCUGCAAAGAGAUUGGAGAAAGUCACUCCUCUGGGAACAUUUACCCGUGUGCCCAGUCUGUAGAAGCAUGCCCACCGGACUGCGGCAGCAGCGGCAGGCACAAACAGGUUUAUUGUGGAAAGACUGCCAAACUUGAUUUCCUCUUUGGAAGCCUAUGAGCACCAGAAACCUGGUUUUGGAAGAGGCUGCUAAUGGUUCUGCCUGUCUAGGUGGAGGUAGGUGGAGACUGUGAUGGGGAAGGCAGAUCCCAACUGUCUGCAACCUAAGGCGCUAUGAGAUUCCGUAGGAACAGACUGCGCGGUCCUUAUUUUAAAACUGACCUGAGUCUGUCCCGCCCCACUCUCUCCUUUGUAUAAUGCUCUUGUCUUUGAAUCCGAACUUAUAUACCAGUGGAGCAUCUCCAAUCCCAGAUUCAUGGGCACAUCUAUUUAGCAUAAGUCAGGAGGAAAGAUGUUGGUAGCAGGCAAAGAGCAGAAUCCGACCCGGAGUGGGCAGUUGCCUGAAAUAUCAGACAUCCUUUCCUCCUGGCUGCGGAGACCUCUGAGAGACAGAGACAGGACCUGGAAUCGCGCGCCACCAAGCCACCAACCCAACCCAGCAACUUACGUGCGCGCAUCAGGUAUGUAGAAGUCCAGUGAGUAGCCGAAGUAGCUGCCCUCGGGGCCACUGUACACAGUGAGCUUGUCCACAUCCAAGUUGAACGCCAGACACGCAGGGGACCACAGCAUCCCCAGCGCGGCCGAGACGCAACAGAGACGCGCGAACGGAGGUGCCCGGUUCCCCGGGGGACCACAGUGGGUUCCCGCAGACAUCGCCCUCCUUCCCGAACGCUGUUCACCCGGGAUCGGGAGCCGUGGAGCCCAGAGGAGAAGGCCUGACGCUCCCCAGAGGCCGGUGUCCCGGGUCGGUGAGCUAGGAGCGUCCACAGUGACAGUCCUCUCGCCCUGUGCGGCCCGCCGACCCCGCUGCUCUGGGCUUGCAGCAGCGGAUCCCGCGCUCGACCCUCUCCAGCCCCUGGCUGGGGCCGGCGCGCUCUUCGCGCCCUCUAGCGGCUAGUUCUCAGGCUGCAGGACGGAGCUUGCGGUCUAGGACCGGGCAAGUGCCUGUUGAGCCCGCUAGAUUUCGAGUCUCUAGUUUAAGGACCAUCUAAAUUUUAUGGAUGUCACCUCAAGUCAUUGUUUUGGAGAAGCGGUGUUCCAUAUGCGGCGAGAAUUUAAUGAUUUCCCAAUAUUGCGCAGCUCGGAUACAAGCAUACAAAAGAGUAUACCAACUCCAGAAAAGAGUGGUUAUAUGGCUGUCACCUCUACCUUUGAGGGUGGAAGUAAUAAUCUUUCCCAGGAAAGAGCACAGCAAUUGGUUAGCUGAUACCAAAUAAUCGGCCCUGAAGACAUACAUGCUUCUGAGCACAUGAACAGAACACAAGAAUACUACAAGUUAAUUUAAAGCCAGCAGAUAAAAGUUAAAAUCCCUGGAGUCAAGAUGCCAGGUGGUAUUCCUGGAAGGAGAAAGAAAUGUGUCAAAUGGAUUAAAGUUAGCCUGCUUUUCAACUGGUUUACAAGAAGAAUUUGUUCAGAGUAGAUGUUGGAGUGACUCUCCUUAAAGUCGCUGAAAGCUGAUUUGCCUUUGCUUGCUCUCAAGCCAAACCAGGGGACCAGUGGCAUACCUGGGAGUUCUAAAGAAAAGCUCUUUUUAUCAACCAUGUGCUUAAUGUUCAACCACUGUGUGUUCUCUCUCUUGUUUUUAUCACACUCUUGGGAAAUUAUAGACUUGUAAAAUAUCAAGGCCAGCAAGAAGGCUCAGUAAGGGUCCUGGCUACUGAGCCUGAAGGACUGACUGACCAACUGGUGGGACCCUGGGAUUCAUGUGGUGGAUGGAAAGACAGAGCUGAAUCUUAUACAUUGCCCUCUAACAUGGGCACUUUGACAUGUGUAUGAAGUCCUUAACCCACAUGCAAUCCAUGUAAUGAAAAAUUGGAGUAUAGUUAAUGUCUCUCUUCAGUCCUUAAUCUUACAGACAGUCUAGUCAUGGUAUAAUCCUGUUUAAAAACCAGUGAUGCUCACAGGUGGAGAGGCAAUGUAGCACAAUGAGUGGGUUCUAGGUAACCUGAGCUUUUCCACCUGGCCUCUCUCUUCCCUGAAAUAGUGACUCUGAGAUAUUUUAUACUGAAUAAAUGUCUAGGCCAAUAGUUUUGGCUUAUUUCCUCUAGGUCAUAACUCAAUCAUCCCAUUUAAACUAGUCUAAGUCAUGUCACAUGAUUAGUUACCUCUCCUCAGGUUCAUGUGUCUGUCUCCAUCAGCAUUCUGGGAGAGUCUUUCAUCCCUGAACUUUUUCUAGAACCCAAUCUCUAUCUGCUGGAUGUUCCACCUUCUAAUCCUGCCCCAGUUCAUUGGCCACAGGCUUUUAUUAACACAUGAUGCUUCCACUCAGUACAAAAAAAAUUCUCUACAGUUCUGGAUCUAGACUUGGGAAUCUUCAAUCCAGUGUCCCCACCUAUAGGAGCCAAGUAAUUGCUUUUUCUUAUUCCAAUUUUCUCACUUGCAAAAUGGCCACAUUAACAGUAAUUCAUGUGGACUAGUGAAGACAGUAUGAAACAGAUGUCUACACUUAUAUCCGAACGCCAUGGAAAACAAUGUCAUUCAUUGUAACAACAUUAGCUUGUGUCCAUUCUCAUAUGUGUAACUGAGAAUUCUGAGUGCUCACUGUUAGUUGGAAUUAACCUGGAAAGUGUCCCAUUCUUGAGUAAAACCUUGUUCUGCUGUCUUGGUUGAGCCUCAUUAGUUAAACUCUCCAAUAAAGGCAUUAAAUGUCAG
rnacentral:lncRNA from 1 species